rnacentral:lncRNA from 1 species
UGACUCUUCAUGCAUGGCAAGCCGACCAGGAGGCAGGCUAUCUACACGCUCACUUGCCUUGGGGAGUUCAAGAUCCAAAUCGAAAGGGAUCCCAUACCAAACCCAUAUCUGACUCUAAUCAUCUGAAUUCAACACAGAGCUAUAACCACUGGGACUUAGCUCGCUUUGCUCGGCCAUCCUCAAAUAAAAAAACUGAAAGGAUAUCUAAAAAAAGAAGGGAAGAAUAAGAAAAUAGAUGGGUGAGAAAGAAAACUUAUCUG